UGUCAUUUUACACAGUGGAUAAUUGACUUGUUGCAACAAUUAAUGAGUUUUGAGCAUUUUGAACGGAUCCUGGACUUCUGGGAAGAAAAAAAUGAGAAUACCAUCAUACCUAGGAUAGUCACUUAUCGUGUUUGGUUUUGAAGUAAACGAUUGCAGAGAUUGGGGAAAGGGACAAUUUUGAAUCAGUUUUCUUUCCUUGUGAUGUCAACUUAUUUGAUUUUCUAUAUGGAAUUUGUGGUUAUAUUUUGGUUAAGUGAUUAAUAUUUAUUCAUCUUCAUUAGAGAGCAUGGGUGGUCAUAGAGGUAAGAAUAUGGAAACAAUGUCAUGAUCCGAUCAAAACAAACACGUUUUUAUUGGAAUACUUUACGAUAAUGUGAAACCAGGGAAGUUGCAAUGUUCUACGUUCACAAAAGACAAUUGGGACAAGAUCAAUCAAGAGAUGAUUGUUGCCACAAAAUCAGAUUACGGGAUAGAAAGAUUGAAGGGUAAGUGGAAUCGUUUGCAUAAGGUAUAUCGCUUGUUCUUUGACCUUUUAGGGCAUACGGGUGUUACAUGAGAUCCAAAUACCAACGAAGUGGAUGCUACAGAAGAAGUUUGGCAACAUUUUUUUAUGGUAUGUGUUGUAAAAGAAAAUUUUUAGCAUUACUUAUUUAUGAUAUCAUUUUUUGUUUAGCAUUUUGCUUCACUAUUAAUGUUAGCGUUUUUUUAAAUUGUAGAUAAACAAAAGCGACUAUAAGACAUUUUGUAUGGGACGGAUGUAAGCAUUACGAAUUGCUUGGAGAGAUUUUUAGCAGGACUACAGCCACUGGAGGUCUAGGCCAUGCUUCUACUCAGCUUCCUCCAACUUCAGAGGAAGAAAGACGGCUAGAAGAUGAGUUUUUGAGCAAGGGAGUGCAUGUACGUGUGGAGAAUGAUGACGAUGAAGUUUCAAAUAUUUGUCCACAUGAUGAUGCUAUACCUAACAAAUGUCGACGUAAGGAACCCAAAAUCAGUAAAGGAGAAAAACUUGAGGAAUGUAUAGCUCAAUGGUCAUCUACUGUUAGUAUGAGGAAUGAGGAAACAGAACUAAGGAUGCUAUGCCUUAAAGAAAAGCUUGCACGCAUCCAAGAAAAAUCACCUAAUCACGAGGGCACUAGUGAAAUUACUAGUCCAAAUCCUUAUUCAAAUAUGGCGUGUUUGAACAUCUUAAACAACAUGGAAGGAGUGUCUUAACGAGAUUUAUAUGAAAGCAAUAAAGGCUUUUAAGGAUCCAGAUUUCAGGAUGACAUUUAUAAUGAAACCAAAAAUUAGGAAAGGAACUAUCUUGGAAUUUCUUUGAUUUGCCUAAUUGGUUGGAUUGAGUAUUUUGAACUUAUAAUGUAGGAUUGUGUUCUUUUUAUAUAUUGACUAUGAACUUUGUAAUUCUCAACAUUUACUACUAGUUUUAUUUUUAUCAAUGCAGAUUUUGGUAUUUAUAUUUGUUGGAGUAUUUUUAUAAAUGAUUAUGGUAAGUACAUAGAUGAUAUGAGUGACAAUGAUUUAUUAUGUAUGAAUGAUUUUGAUGCGAU
rnacentral:lncRNA from 1 species